rnacentral:rRNA from 1 species
AGUUCUCGUUGAUGAUCGGUGCUUGCACCGAGAUUCAACAUAGCACGAGUGGCGGACGGGUGAGUAACACGUGGGUAACCUGCCCUUAAGUGGGGGAUAACAUUUGGAAACAGAUGCUAAUACCGCAUAGAUCCAAGAACCGCAUGGUUCCUGGCUGAAAGAUGGCGUAAGCUAUCGCUUUUGGAUGGAUCCGCGGCGUAUUAGCUAGUUGGUGAGGUAAUGGCUCACCAAGGCGAUGAUACGUAGCCGAACUGAGAGGUUGAUCGGCCACAUUGGGACUGAGACACGGCCCAAACUCCUACGGGAGGCAGCAGUAGGGAAUCUUCCACAAUGGACGCAAGUCUGAUGGAGCAACGCCGCGUGAGUGAAGAAGGCUUUCGGGUCGUAAAACUCUGUUGUUGGAGAAGAAUGGUCGGCAGAGUAACUGUUGUCGGCGUGACGGUAUCCAACCAGAAAGCCACGGCUAACUACGUGCCAGCAGCCGCGGUAAUACGUAGGUGGCAAGCGUUAUCCGGAUUUAUUGGGCGUAAAGCGAGCGCAGGCGGUUUUUUAAGUCUGAUGUGAAAGCCCUCGGCUUAACCGAGGAAGCGCAUCGGAAACUGGGAAACUUGAGUGCAGAAGAGGACAGUGGAACUCCAUGUGUAGCGGUGAAAUGCGUAGAUAUAUGGAAGAACACCAGUGGCGAAGGCGGCUGUCUGGUCUGUAACUGACGCUGAGGCUCGAAAGCAUGGGUAGCGAACAGGAUUAGAUACCCUGGUAGUCCAUGCCGUAAACGAUGAAUGCUAGGUGUUGGAGGGUUUCCGCCCUUCAGUGCCGCAGCUAACGCAUUAAGCAUUCCGCCUGGGGAGUACGACCGC